GCCUACGGGAGGCAGCAGUGGGGAAUAUUGCACAAUGGGGGAAACCCUGAUGCAGCGACGCCGCGUGAGUGAAGAAGUAUUUCGGUAUGUAAAGCUCUAUCAGCAGGGAAGAAAAUGACGGUACCUGAUUAAGAAGCCCCGGCUAACUACGUGCCAGCAGCCGCGGUAAUACGUAGGGGGCAAGCGUUAUCCGGAUUUACUGGGUGUAAAGGGAGCGUAGACGGCAGCACAAGUCUGGAGUGAAAUGCCGGGGCUUAACUCCGGAACUGCUUUGGAAACUGUGCAGCUAGAGUGCAGGAGAGGUA
rnacentral:rRNA from 1 species